rnacentral:lncRNA from 1 species
AUGUUUGAGACAAGUUUCAUAAUCAUCCGCAGCACCCUCAGAAGACAGGGCAUCGUUGAUAGCAUAAACAUUACCAGGGGGUAUUGGUACCUGCAAAAAAUUAAGGAGAAAAAAGGAUUAUCUGGUUAAAUUAGGACACAAACUAGCAUCAAAAGUCUGAUAUUUAUGACAAAAAGGAACUAGAUUUGCAAGAGCAUUCCUACUUUCACGAUCAGAUAGUUUCAGCAUUUCUCCAUUUGGUGGAAUACCUAUCUCCAAUGUCUAAUAAUAUAAUGUAAAACAAAUAAAAAAAAAACAUGACUAUUUUAGACUUCUCAGAAAAAUCAAUUGGGCCACCUAAAUAAUCUACUCAUAUUUCUAAACUUAUGAUAAAAAACAGAAAUGACACCAUUCAAACUGACAAUAGACAAUCAAAUCAUCAUCAAUAAUUUCCUAAGGGAAGAUCAUAAUACUAAGAACAACAUAGCUUGAAGUGUGACCACAUAACAUGAACUGAUGAUAUCAAUGUAAUGUUUUCAGCCAAAAAACCACAAUGUUACAAAACAAGUAAAGAUAAAUAUACCUUUGAGAGGAAACCAUCAAAAGCAAGUUUGUAGUUACUGUCUGGAUGAUCUUUAGGAACAACUCUCUCAUCCACCCAAAACACUUGCCAUUUUGACCAAUCUAUUGAAUCCACAUAAGGUGCCUCCACCAAUUUCCUGAACCCCGCAAUAAAAUCACAAACCAUCAAGAACCCAUCAUCAUCAAUCCAUUAAUGAACAUCAAAUUUAUGAACUUGACUGGUUUAAUCAAGCAAGACUACAGUGACAAAUACCUGAGGGACUUAAUGAGAGAACC